UAGAAUAGGGGAGCUUAACUUGUGUUUUUAAUGUUUAAGUUAAAAGCCACUGUUCUAAG
rnacentral:pre_miRNA from 1 species